rnacentral:rRNA from 1 species
UACGGAGGGUGCAAGCAUUAAUCGGAUUUAUUGGGCGUAAAGGGCGCGUAGGCGGAUAGGUAAGUCAGAUGUGAAAUUCCGAAGCUCAACUUCGGAUCUGCAUUUGAAACUAUCUAUCUUGAGGAAUGGCGGAGAAAACGGAAUUCCACGUGUAGCGGUGAAAUGCGUAGAUAUGUGGAGGAACACCGGUGGCGAAAGCGGUUUUCUAGCUUAAACCUGACGCUGAGGCGCGAGAGCAAGGGGAGCAAACAGG